UGGAACACGCUGGCACGCUCGACCUGAGUGGCCACGGUAUCUGCAGCUCCCACGAUACUGCGGCACCAUGGCUGUCUGGCCUAAAUAGACGAUGGUCGCGACGGCUACCACUUGCCGUCGUCUCCUACAAGAUCAUGCUCCCGGGCAAGCGAGUGGCGGGGAGGACCUGGAGGAAGUUGGGAGGCAGUCGUUCCCUGGUCGUCGCUCAUCUCGCUGGGCGCCCGGUGUUGACUAUCCCACCAUGGAAGGUGUGGCGGACGAGAAUCCACAGCGGUUUCUUUCCCGCGGAGUACACACUGCAGCAGCAGUUCAUGGUGGACCAUGCGGAAGGAAAGAAGAGUUGAAAACUGCCGUGAGCAGUAACUGCGGUGAGGAGAACUGCAAAUACCUUCAACGCAAACCGAGGCGCUGCAAGAGGGAUUCUAGGAGUGGUUGUUUUUGCAGAAAAGGAUAUUACCGAGAGGGAUCAGGAAGCUCACCGUGUGUCAAUGUGACAAAGUGCCGUAGAUCGAAGACAACGGUAUGACGUUAUAUGCACAAGGCCGCAUUACUAAAUAAUAAAAUGCGUAUAGUUGAACCUUC